CAGCAGCCGCCGCGGGAAUACGUAGGUGGCAAGCGUUGUCCGGAAUUAUUGGGCGUAAAGGGCUCGCAGGCGGUUUCUUAAGUCUGAUGUGAAAGCCCCCGGCUCAACCGGGGAGGGUCAUUGGAAACUGGGAAACUUGAGUGCAGAAGAGGAGAGUGGAAUUCCACGUGUAGCGGUGAAAUGCGUAGAGAUGUGGAGGAACACCAGUGGCGAAGGCGACUCUCUGGUCUGUAACUGACACUGAGGAGCGAAAGCGUGGGGAGCGAACAGGAUUAGAUACCCCCGUAGUCCCUGUCUCUUAUAC
rnacentral:rRNA from 1 species